rnacentral:rRNA from 1 species
GAUGAACGCUAGCGGCAGGCCUAAUACAUGCAAGCUGAACGGUAAAUGUUAUAGCAAUAUAAUAUGAGAGUAGCGUAAGGGUGCGUAACACGUAUGCAGUCUACCCGCAACAGGAGGAUAGCUCCCCGAAAGGGGAAUUAAUACUACAUAAGAUCAGGAGAGGGCAUCUGAUUGUGGUUAAACUCCAAGGGGGUGCGGAUGAGCAUGCGUCUGAUUAGUGAGUUGGUGGGGUAACGGCUCACCAAGACGAUGAUCAGUAGGGGAAGUGAGAGGUUGAUCCCCCACACUGGAACUGAGAUACGGGCCAGACUCCUACGGGAGGCAGCAGUAGGGAAUAUUGGUCAAUGGGUGAGAGCCUGAACCAGCCAUGCCGCGUGCAGGAAGACGGCCUUCUGGGUUGUAAACUGCUUUUAUCUGGGGAUAAAAUAUCCUUGCGAGGAGAAUUGAAGGUACCAGAGGAAUAAGCCACGGCUAACUACGUGCCAGCCGCCGCGGUAAGAC